AUCCUGGCUCAGAUUGAACGCUGGCGGCAUGCCUUACACAUGCAAGUCGAACGGUAGCGGGCCUUCGGGUGCCGACGAGUGGCGAACGGGUGAGUAAUGCAUCGGAACGUGCCAUUGAGUGGGGGAUAACGUAGCGAAAGUUACGCUAAUACCGCAUAUUCUGUGAGCAGGAAAGCAGGGGACCGCAAGGCCUUGCGCUCUUUGAGCGGCCGAUGUCAGAUUAGCUAGUUGGUGAGGUAAAGGCUUACCAAGGCGACGAUCUGUAGCGGGUCUGAGAGGAUGAUCCGCCACACUGGAACUGAGACACGGUCCAGACUCCUACGGGAGGCAGCAGUGGGGAAUUUUGGACAAUGGGGGCAACCCUGAUCCAGCCAUGCCGCGUGAGUGAAGAAGGCCUUCGGGUUGUAAAGCUCUUUCGGCCGGGAAGAAAUCGCAUGGGUGAAUACCCUGUGUGGAUGACGGUACCGGAACAAGAAGCACCGGCUAACUACGUG
rnacentral:rRNA from 1 species